rnacentral:rRNA from 3 species
UUAAAUUGAAGAGUUUGAUCAUGGCUCAGAUUGAACGCUGGCGGCAGGCCUAACACAUGCAAGUCGAACGGUAACAGGAAACAGCUUGCUGUUUCGCUGACGAGUGGCGGACGGGUGAGUAAUGUCUGGGAAACUGCCUGAUGGAGGGGGAUAACUACUGGAAACGGUAGCUAAUACCGCAUAACGUCGCAAGACCAAAGAGGGGGACCUUCGGGCCUCUUGCCAUCGGAUGUGCCCAGAUGGGAUUAGCUAGUAGGUGGGGUAACGGCUCACCUAGGCGACGAUCCCUAGCUGGUCUGAGAGGAUGACCAGCCACACUGGAACUGAGACACGGUCCAGACUCCUACGGGAGGCAGCAGUGGGGAAUAUUGCACAAUGGGCGCAAGCCUGAUGCAGCCAUGCCGCGUGUAUGAAGAAGGCCUUCGGGUUGUAAAGUACUUUCAGCGGGGAGGAAGGGAGUAAAGUUAAUACCUUUGCUCAUUGACGUUACCCGCAGAAGAAGCACCGGCUAACUCCGUGCCAGCAGCCGCGGUAAUACGGAGGGUGCAAGCGUUAAUCGGAAUUACUGGGCGUAAAGCGCACGCAGGCGGUUUGUUAAGUCAGAUGUGAAAUCCCCGGGCUCAACCUGGGAACUGCAUCUGAUACUGGCAAGCUUGAGUCUCGUAGAGGGGGGUAGAAUUCCAGGUGUAGCGGUGAAAUGCGUAGAGAUCUGGAGGAAUACCGGUGGCGAAGGCGGCCCCCUGGACGAAGACUGACGCUCAGGUGCGAAAGCGUGGGGAGCAAACAGGAUUAGAUACCCUGGUAGUCCACGCCGUAAACGAUGUCGACUUGGAGGUUGUGCCCUUGAGGCGUGGCUUCCGGAGCUAACGCGUUAAGUCGACCGCCUGGGGAGUACGGCCGCAAGGUUAAAACUCAAAUGAAUUGACGGGGGCCCGCACAAGCGGUGGAGCAUGUGGUUUAAUUCGAUGCAACGCGAAGAACCUUACCUGGUCUUGACAUCCACGGAAGUUUUCAGAGAUGAGAAUGUGCCUUCGGGAACCGUGAGACAGGUGCUGCAUGGCUGUCGUCAGCUCGUGUUGUGAAAUGUUGGGUUAAGUCCCGCAACGAGCGCAACCCUUAUCCUUUGUUGCCAGCGGUCCGGCCGGGAACUCAAAGGAGACUGCCAGUGAUAAACUGGAGGAAGGUGGGGAUGACGUCAAGUCAUCAUGGCCCUUACGACCAGGGCUACACACGUGCUACAAUGGCGCAUACAAAGAGAAGCGACCUCGCGAGAGCAAGCGGACCUCAUAAAGUGCGUCGUAGUCCGGAUUGGAGUCUGCAACUCGACUCCAUGAAGUCGGAAUCGCUAGUAAUCGUGGAUCAGAAUGCCACGGUGAAUACGUUCCCGGGCCUUGUACACACCGCCCGUCACACCAUGGGAGUGGGUUGCAAAAGAAGUAGGUAGCUUAACCUUCGGGAGGGCGCUUACCACUUUGUGAUUCAUGACUGGGGUGAAGUCGUAACAAGGUAACCGUAGGGGAACCUGCGGUUGGAUCACCUCCUUACCUUAAAGAA